rnacentral:RNase_P_RNA from 1 species
UGAGUAGGACAGAUGAUCGCUGCCAUGCAGACGAAAGGGCAUGGGAGAGGAAAGUCCGGGCUUCGCAGGGCAGGAUGCCAGAUAACGUCUGGUGGAGGUAACUCCCAGGCUAGUGCAACAGAAAUAUACCGCUUAGCAUUUUGCUAAGUAAGGGUGGAAAGGCAGUGUAAGAGACUACCGUGCUGGUGGUAACAUCAGUAGCCAUGUAAACCCCAUUCGAAGCAAGACCGAAUAGAAAGCUAUGAAUUUGCCCGAUUCGCUUUCAGGUGGGUCGCUUGAAACUGUUGGUGACAGCAGUUCUAGAUAGAUGAUCAUCCAAGACAUAACCCGGCUUAUCGUUCUACUCAUAUA